rnacentral:tRNA from 1 species
CGGGCGGGUUGGCCCAAUUUGGCGGGGCCCCGCCGAUUGCCACCGCCGCUUUGGCCUCCAAGGUCGGGCCGAUGUCGGUUCCGCCGACCUGGCCCGG